rnacentral:rRNA from 1 species
UACGAAGGGGGCUAGCGUUGUUCGGAAUCACUGGGCGUAAAGCGCACGCAGGCGGAUCGUUAAGUCGGGGGUGAAAUCCCGAGGCUCAACCUCGGAACUGCCUUCGAUACUGGCGAUCUUUGAGUCCGGGAGAGGUGAGUGGAACUCCGAGUGUAGAGGUGAAAUUCGUAGAUAUUCGGAAGAACACCAGUGGCGAAGGCGGCUCACUGGACCGGCAUUGACGCUGAGGUGCGAAAAGCGUGGGGGAGCAAACAGG